rnacentral:tRNA from 1 species
UCUUCCGUAGUAUAGUGGUCAGUAUGUGAGCUUGUCAAUCAACAACGCUCGAGACCCGGGUUCAAUUCCCGGCGGGAGAG